UAGGGAAUCUUCGGCAAUGGACGCAAGUCUGACCGAGCAACGCCGCGUGAGUGAAGAAGGUUUUCGGAUCGUAAAACUCUGUUGUUAGAGAAGAACAAGGACGUUAGUAACUGAACGUCCCCUGACGGUAUCUAACCAGAAAGCCACGGCUAACUACGUGCCAGCAGCCGCGGUAAUAUGUAGGUGGCAAGCGUUUUCCGGAUUUAUUGGGUGUAAAGCGAGCGCAGGCGGUUUCUUAAGUCUGAUGUGAAAGCCCCCGGCUCAACCGGGGAGGGUCAUUGGAAGCUGGGGGACUUGGGUGGGGGAGAGGAGAGUGGAAUUCCAGGUGUGGGGGUGAAAUGCGUAGGUGUAGGGAGGGACACCAGUGGGGAAGGCGGCUCUCUGGUCUGUAGCUGACGCUGAGGCUCGAAGGGGUGGGGGGCAAACAGG
rnacentral:rRNA from 1 species